ACUUUACUUGACAGCACAGAUGGAUGCUACUGAGCUGCAACCGAGGGUGGGAAUGGUAUCAUCCUGUGUUAUGUCACAGGUGCUGCAUGACAAUGAGGAAGACACAAGGGGUCACUUCAGAGACACUUCUUCCAUAAAGGCCAAGCAGCUGUAUUUCUUCUAACCCUCAGAUUAUUGGUGCAGACAAUACUUCUGGAAACAAUGUGCUGGUUCUUCUUCCUGAUGACAACUGUGACUCGAGCUCAGAGCCCUGGGCCUGCAGGAUCUAGCGCCCCUGAGGUUGCUGCAGCUCCCUCAGGCCUCUGAGGAGUAGGGGUGUCAGAAGGAAAGGCUCUUGCUUACCUCUAAAUUAAGAAAGAGCAAGUGAAUGAAGUCCAGAAAGGUUAAGAGAUUCCAUCAAAGUCAUACAGGUAAUCAGUGAGUUCCAGGUUGCGUGAAGAGCUAGCGUUCAUGGUGUGCCUCUCUGAAGCCCUAUGAAAGACCAAGUUUCGUUGUUAUCCUGGUUUUACCUGUGAGAAAACCAAUGCCACACUGCCCAGAUGAGGGCCCUGAACCACACAGAUGCUGAAAGCGAGCCAACCUGGAAGCCUGUGGAGUUCCCCCAGCGUGAUUGGAGCCAUUGUUCUGCUGCCUGGCAGGGAGGGGCAGCGGGCUUCGGUGCCUUCGGUAGACAUCUGCCUCCGAGGUUUCCUCUGCCUCGCUGUUUGGAGACACAAGCUUUUCCUUCAGAGUCUGAGGUGAAUGUCGUUGAAAGAAACAACAGUUGUGACGGGCUGAAGGGCUGGCAAGAGGACUGGAAGUGGGCUUAGCCCGGGGUUGCGUCCCUGGGGUGCCCCUCGGGGGAACCUUGGGGCCAACAGCACGCUCUCUGUUUACUCAGGACUUUCCUCACCGACCCGCUGAGGAAACAGCUUUGCAAGGAAAGGGAAAACAUAUGGGUUAGGCUAGGUAGUCAGUGGGCCCGAUGGGGACAGAGUGGCUGCCUACAAAUUGCCUCCUACUUCAGCGCCGAGGGGAGCAGAGUCCAGCGUGGGCGGAGGGCCCGCUGUGGGACUCCACACCCUUCAGAGGGGCCGGCCCUGUGGCCGCCACCUCCUGGGCGCACUUGGUACCUUUUAGGGAUGGCCAUGAAAUCUUCUAAGCCUUCCAGGCCCCUUAAGAAAUUUCUGAGAGGAAGAAAUUUGCAUGUUUGUGAUGGAACUAUCUGUCUCUUCACUCACUUGAUUCCACCUCAUGCUUGGUGGGAGGAGUUUUUUGAAGCAUAAUAAUACAUCAAAGUUAUGCUGUGAAAGGUUAUAUUAGCAAGAGAGAGGUCUGUGUGUCUAAUGAGGGCUCCACUUGGAAAAGAAGAAUUCAGGCGGCUCUUUCAGAAUGAAAGGCCAGCUCCUGAGGCAUUGUGGCUCUGAGGCUUUGGUGAUGCUGGUGAUGGGGUGUGUGGACGGGUACAAGGCAGAGGGUCAGAGGAAGGACAGAGGGAACUGAGGAAGCAGGAACUUAGUCAUGUUCAGAGUUUGACCCUGUAGGGUCUGCAAGGUGACUGACUGGAAGUAAACAGAUGACUAUCAUCUUCUGGACUCUCAGCUACCUGUGAUCAGCUACAAGAAACAUGGGUUCUUUCUGGAAUUGGACUGUGUUUCAGGGGAGGGUAAAACAGCAUGGCCCACCUUAAUUCAGUGGCCUGAUUAUCUCCUAUGUGCUGGUGCCAUGCUUCCCGCUGAGGAGAGACGGAAGGACCUGUAGGGGCUGCAGGAUUGGUGCUCUUGCUGAGAAGACCACUCCUGCAAUAUCGAUUACAGACAGCAGUGACGAAACAACAAGCCAGAGCCUCUUGUGGGUGGUGGUCAAGGGAGGCAUCAUGGAGGAGGCAGGUCUUCUCCAGACCUUGAGAGAUGGCAGGACAGAAACAGGGAAUGGGACUCAUGGCUGAGCCAGGGAGAAGGAGCUCGCCAGGGACAUAGCAUUCCAGAGCUGGCUUUUCAACCUGGCUAUAGUAAGGUCUUUGAGGGAAAACUUGCCCCUGCCUUGAGAUCCUCCUUAUCACCAGGGAUUACUGGCCCUUGAUCAGUCAGUUGCAGGACUGGACUCAGGACUCUAGGCUACACUGAAGGGUCUGGCAAAUCUGGGUUUGAGGAUUCAAGGAAUUCUUUGGAAUGCUGGGCUAUUUGGCCUCCUGGCAAAGAAGUACCAAUGAUGCAUAUAUACUGGGAAAUAAGGGAACUGAGGGAAACACUGACAGAAGCUCAGGAAGGUUUUGCUGACUGGAGAAAUAAGCGUGGCACCCACAGUGAGUACAGAGCCUCUGCCCAGACCCUUCACUGGAGAAAGUUGCAGGUGGCUGCAGAGCAGGUGGGCUGCGCUGGGCUGGGCUCAAGCAUGUGGCUGGGCUCCGAGAGGGUCUGCUCGUGCCCAGAUGGCUUCAGAAUGCCUGGUGAACCUCUCCAGCUCUGACGUUCAGGUCUGCAAAAUUCCUGACCCACCCUCCAGGGACUUCCACCAGAUAUGGCAUCAGAUGACCUGGAUUGUUCUGUCCAGGACCAACCCUCAACCCUACCGCACCUUGCUUAUCUGAUCCUCCUCCCCAUGGGCACAUUCAGCCUCUUAGAAAUGUGUUUGCUCCCCUCCUCUUUGCAACUAUUUAAAAAAUGUUCUCCUUUUUGUUUUCUUCUUCAAGAAUUUUAUAGAAAAGAAAGAUCGCAGAGUGUUUGGUGCAGAUAAUGAGAAAAGCAGGAUCGGGUGGGUGGUUACAAUGUCAGGGGAUUUGGAAGAAUUUCUUCUUUUCCCUCAUCAUUGCUCCCAGUAGAGAAAUAGUUUCAGCCAUUCUAGGAAAUGUGAGCAAUGCAGAGGGUUUUCCGCACCUCAGCAGCGAAGUGCAUCAUAUACAGUACCUUACAUUCACGGGAAGAUUUUAUACAUAAUCAAGAAUGUCAUUUAGAAACCAGGGAGAGAUGUCACGGAUUGAUCUUAGACUGCUGCAUAGCAUUUGCUAUGAUGCCUACAGUGUAGGGGGCAUCUUUUUUUUAAAAAAUUUUUUAUUGAGUUAAUGAUAGGUUACAAUCUUGUGAAAUUUCUGUUGUACAUUAAUGUUUGUCAUUCGUGUUGUAGGUGCACCACUUCACCCUUUGUGCCCACCCCCCACCCCACCUUUCCCCUGGUAUCCACUAAACUGUUCUCUUAGUCCACAUUUUUAAAUUGUAGGGGGCAUCUUGAUGUCAGAGCUGAGAAUUCUCUGGUCUGCAGCAUCCAAGGAGAAGGAUCCAGAGAGGAAAGAUUUUUCACAAGUUGAACAGUGGUCUCAGGAUUCAGUGCUUUCUUCUGCUUUAACAAGACCAUUAUUGUCAUAUUCUCUUACACUGUAGACUUUAGAAUUUACAAAAUGUGCUUUUAGAAUGGCAUUUGAUGUGAGCUCUGAUAACACGAUAUUGCAUUUCUAGGUUGUUUGUUCUCGAGAUCUGAGUGUGUUUAACUCAAAUUCUCUGUUAGGAUCUGGGUUAAGGUUUUUCAUACCUAGCAUGUUCAUUUUUUAUUUCCAACUGGAAAAGUCUUAAUAACAGAAUCUUUUUUUUUUUUUUUUUGUCAAAACGAAGCCUUUUCAGUGCAAAAAUUUCAGCAAAAUAGCUACGUUUUCCAUUGCUUCAUUGUAUUGAGAACAGGCGUGUCUUGAUCCCACCUCUACUUUUCAAAGGUACGGCAGCUACAGUAGUUCAGGUCUUUAUCAUCACUCCCUUUUACUAUUUUAAUUAUAUAACUGCUCCCCUAACCUCCAUUCUUAUUUUCCCUCCUAUCCAACAAUUGCAUGAUUGUCAAACUGAACAUUGAAAGCUCAGGUCUAAGAAAAUUGACAAAGACGAACAAAGAUGUGUCUAAGUGAGCAAUCUCAGAGAUGCUGUGGUGUGAAUGGUGCAGCCCCUUUGAAGGGCAACGUGGUCAUAUCUACCAGAGUUACAAGCACAGGCACGCUUUGACCCAAAAUUCCACUUCCAGGAAUUUAUCCUAUUGAUAUUCUUAUACGUGCAAAGAUGUAUGUGUGAGGAUGUCAAUUAUGGCAUUGUUUAUAAUGACAAGAUAUUGGAAACAAGCUAUUGAAAUGGUAGAGCUACUGAAAUGAAUGAUGGUAAUUGCCUUUUAUUUUUUAAGGAAGAUUAGCUCUGAGCUAACAUCUGCCACCAAUCCUCCUCUUUUUUGCUAAGGAAGAUUGGCUCUGAGCUAACUCCAGCGCCUGUCUUCCUCCACUUUGUAUGCCGGAUGCCUGCCAAAUCAUGGCUUGACAAGCAGUGUGUAGGUCCACACCCGGGAUCUGAACUGGCAAACCCCGGGCCGCCAAAGCAGAAUGUGAGAACUUAACGGCUGUACCACCGGCUGGCCCCUGAAUCAUGGUAAUUGGAUGAUGGAAUUUGUAAGGGCCAUUUGCCAGUUGCUCCCUAGAAUCCACUCCCUUUUGUCCCCUCUUAAUCGUUGGUUGGGGUUGGCCCCCACUCCUGACUGAGGGCAGCCAAUCAGCCCAUCAUAUUUCCUUGGCCUCAGAACUGUUUCAUGUAAGAAAAAAUCUUGUCCAAUCAGAAUGAAUCAGAAUGAUUACGAGGCGUAGAAUAGCUGCAGCCAGGAGGGGCAGCCUGGAGCCUCCAGGAGGCCUGAGAUGGACCCUGAGAGAGGAACUAGUCCAACGACGUGUGCUGGGGGAUGGAGCCUACUGGGGUCAAGCUGGGUGACAUGCCGAAGCGGGGCGAAUGCCCUUUUGGUUUUGGUUCUUGUUUAGCUGGCCUGAGGUGAGUCGCCUUUCACUUGCAGCCAUAAGGAUCCUAGGUGCUAAAGGAUGCCCGGUAGCUGUGAAAGGAAGUGAGGUGCAUCUACAUUUGCCCAUGUGGAAUUCCUUGAGAUACUUUGUGAAAUGAAAGCAUUAUACAACGAAUAUAGAAUAUACUCCCUUCUAUAUAAAUGAAAAGCUGUGAGAAUGAGUGAGUGCCUGUGCAUGUGUGGAUGUGUGUGAUGUGUAUAACAGUCUCAGCUAGUCCACGCAAUGCUUUUGAACAAAUUAGGAAAAGACGCUCCCUCUGGUAUGUGCAGCCCCAUGCCACGGAGCAGCUUGGCAAGCAAGUGUGCAAUGGAUUUUAACCCCUCCUUGUCUCUGUGGCUGGGGGGCUUCAUGCUGUACACAAUCUACACAAUAUGCCAUGGUCCUUUGUCUAUAUACUUGUAUAUGAUAUUUCCGGUAGGAUACAUGCAAAACCAGAAAGACAGGUUGCUUCUAGGAAGGGAAGACUCGGAGUUUGGUGGUAGUAGGGUGAAAGGAGGCUUGUCCUCUGUGCUGCCCUGGGGGGGGUAUUUGAAUUUUACUACCAUCUACACAAAUUACUUUUCAAAACUAGUUCAUUUGAAUAAACAAGUAGGAAAGCAAACAAAAACACAGGUUUGAUCUCAGUUACUCCCUUGUUUCAAAAAACUUUCAACAAUCCUCAUGAAGAACUUCCAGCUACUUGAGCACAUCAUACAAAGGUUGCAGCUGGCCCCAGCCUGCCAUCCUAGCCUUACCUCGGGCAGCUCGCUUGGCCUCUCCGCCUUUGCAGCUGCUGUCCUCUCUGCUCUUCCCUGUGUCCCACCUGGGGGACUGCCGUCAUCCUCGGGGGCCCUUGUUCCUGGGUGUGCCCACAGUCCUUGGUGCCUUUCCCUUUCUUGCUACCUACCACAUUUUAUUGCAAUUGUUUGUUUAUUCCUACGCCACCUGCUUUCUGUGAGUGAGCUCUUUGACGGACCUGUGUCCCUGGACUUAGGACAGUUGGUGCUUGUGACACGAUGGGAAGAGGCAUCUCAUAGCUGUUCGCUGAACAAAUGGAGAAUCACCUGAGAUCCUUGACAAGAAUGUGUAUUCCUGGGACCCACCUCAGGACAACUGAAUUAGACUCCCUGAAGGGUGGAGCCCAGCAAUUCCGACUUUUAACCAGCCCCCUCGAUGAUUCUAAUGCCCACUAAAGCCUACAAACUGCUGGUUCAGCAACUCUUCCUUCAGAAGCCCUUGGGAUCUGCAUAUUUGGGAAUCUGGAACUACCUGACGGGACAGAGCAAAAAUAGACCAAGCGUUCUCUGAGCUCUGCAGCGUCACCUCCUCGUGCGUCCUUGAGGUGUUCCUGAAGGCUGCUUCUCUGGGGUUUGGGGCUGAUGUCAUUGUUUUUCCUGGCACCACUGCUUUGCUGGUUCUAAAAAGCACUUUUAAAAGUAUCAGCUUUUAGGAUAAAAACUCUAGGAAUCUUGAAACAAAAUGUGGGUACAACUCAGAUUAACUCCACACUUGUCCUUACCCCUCAGCCUCAAGCCCCUUCCUGCCUGGUCCUGAGGUAGAGAAUGUUUCAGGCUGAUCCAUUUCAAGGAAGUCUCCUGGAGACGCUGUGUUUCCAUCUUACAUGAAGGUUAAUUACACUAUGCUAAAUUCCAAGGGGCUGAUCAGUUUGCUUUGUGGAAAUGAUAUUUCUGUCAUUUUGAAUAAUUUUUGAAAUGUGAAUGUGAUUGGCCUGUAUUUGGCCGCCCUUUUUAUUUAGAGAGUUUUCCUGGAAUAGAAGUUUAGCUUCAUCCACAUGUGCUCAUUUACACCAUAUAUUACAGACACCCAUUGCUCUGGGCCACAGGGCAGCGCUCACACCCUCUGCCUCCCUCCCUUGGGGGAUGAAGUCACUCAUAGACAUGGUUCACUGCUAUAGACGGAAUGGUUGUGUCCUCUCAAAAUUCAUAUGUUAAAUCCUGACCCCCAAUGCAAUGGUACUUGGAAGUGAGGUCUCUGGGAGGUGAUUAGUUCAUGAGGGCAAAGCCCUCAGGGAUGGGAUUAGUGCCCUUAUAAAAGAGACCCCAGAGAGCUCCCUUGCCCCUUCUGCCAUGUGAAGACAGAAUGAGAAGAUAGCUGUCUAUGAACUAGGAAGUAAGCUGGCACCAGACCCCGAAUCUCCUGGCAUCUUAAUCUUGGACUUUCCAGGCUCAGGAACUGUGGGAAAGAAAUGCUUGUGUAAGCCCCCGACUGUAUGGUAAUUGUUAUAGCCGCCCGAAUGGACUAAGACAUUCACACUGUUGCCCUUGUGCCAAGCAGAGUGCAGGAUACAUUAGUGCAAGAGGGUGAGCCUGUGCCCUGUGUCAAGGAGUUUAAUCUAAACCCCCAUUCUCCAAUGCAGUCGCCCCCAGCCACAUGUGACUAUUGAACACUUGAAAUGUCUGAAUGGAGAUGUGCUGUAAGUGUAAAAUAUACAUCAGAUUUCAAAGACUUUGUAGGAAGAAAAAGCGUGUAAAAUAUCUCAUUAACAAUUGUUUUAUAUUGACUACAUGUUGAAAUCAGAAUGUUUUGGAUAUAUUAGGUUAAAUAAAAUAUACUAUUAAAAUUAA
rnacentral:lncRNA from 1 species